rnacentral:rRNA from 1 species
AACGAACGCUGGCGGCAUGCCUAAUACAUGCAAGUCGAACGAGAAAGUCCCGCAAGGGAUGAGUAGAGUGGCGCACGGGUGAGUAACACGUAGGUGACCUACCCUAUAAUUGGGGAUAACAGAGAGAAGUCUCUGCUAAUACCGGAUAAGGUGAACAAAGGUGGAACUAGUUCACGAAAGACGGCCUCUUUACAAUGCCGUUGUUGUAGGAAGGGCCUGCGGGCCAUUAGCUAGUUGGUAGGGUAAAGGCCUACCAAGGCAAUGAUGGCUAGCCGGUCUGAGAGGAUGAUCGGCCACACUGGAACUGAGACACGGUCCAGACUCCUACGGGAGGCAGCAGUAGGGAAUAUUGCGCAAUGGGGGCAACCCUGACGCAGCAAUGCCGCGUGAGUGAGGAAGGCCUUCGGGUUGUAAAGCUCUGUCCUUAGGGAAAAAUGGCGAUAUAGUGAAUAGCUAUAUUGAUUGAUGGUACCUAAGAAGAAAGCACCGGCUAACUUCGUGCCAGCAGCCGCAGUAA